GACGAACGCUGGCGGCGUGCUUAACACAUGCAAGUCGAACGGAAAGGCCCUGCUUUUGUGGGGUGCUCGAGUGGCGAACGGGUGAGUAACACGUGAGUAACCUGCCCUUGACUUUGGGAUAACUUCAGGAAACUGGGGCUAAUACCGGAUAGGAGCUCCUGCUGCAUGGUGGGGGUUGGAAAGUUUCGGCGGUUGGGGAUGGACUCGCGGCUUAUCAGCUUGUUGGUGGGGUAGUGGCUUACCAAGGCUUUGACGGGUAGCCGGCCUGGGAGGGUGACCGGCCCACAUGGGGAGAGAGAUCGGGCCGAGCCCCAGAGGGGGGGAGGAAGGGGGGAAUAUUGCAAAGGGGGGGGAGGCCUGAUGAACACACCCGGGGGGGGGGAGGGGGGCUUGGGGUUUGAAACCCGUUUCCGCGGGGGAAGAGGGGGGAGGGAGGGAAUGGGAAAAAGAGCCCCGGGCAAACUAGGUC
rnacentral:rRNA from 1 species